AACUUCAAGCCCACGUGGAAAAGUUCAACAAGGAGGAACAUAAGAGAAAGAAGAUCAAGGUGGGACUAGAAUAAGCUGAUCAUUAUUUGGAUACUCUUAAGGGUCAACUACGACAAGCUCAGAAAGAAUGUCAAGACAAUGAACGUUGGUGGCAUCUAGCCACAAAGGAGAACAAGACCAUAAGGGAUACACUUGGGGCUUAGAUAAAAGAACUCACC
rnacentral:lncRNA from 1 species